GACGAACGCUGGCGGCGUGCUUAACACAUGCAAGUCGAACGGAAAGACCCUGCUUUUGUUGGGUGCUCGAUUGCCGAACGGGUGAGUAUCACAUGAGUAAACUGUCCUUGUCUGUGGGGUAACUUCACGAAACUGGGGCUAAUACCGGGUAGAAUCUCCUGCUCCAUGGUGGGGGAUGGUAAGUUUCGGCGGUUGGGGAUGGACUCGCGGCUUAUGGGCUUCUUUGUCGGGUAGUUGCGUACGAAGUCUUUGACGGGUAGCCGGCCUUAGAGGGGGACCGGCGACAUGGGGCCUGAGAGAGGGACCAGACGCCUACGGGAGGCAGUGGGGGGGAACAUUGCAGAAUGGGCGGACGCGUGAUGUAGAAAUGCCGCGUGCGGGAUGACGGGCUACGGGGUGUAAACCGAUGUGGCCUGUGAUGAAGCGUGAGUGACGGUAACGAGUAAAGAAGCACCGGCUAACUACGUG
rnacentral:rRNA from 1 species